rnacentral:rRNA from 1 species
CCUACGGUGGGCAGCAGUGGGGAAUAUUGCACAAUGGGCGGAACCCUGAUGCAGCCAUGCCGCGUGGGUGAAGAAGCACUCCGGUGCGUAAAGCCCUUUCAGCAGGGAAGAAAAUGACAGUACCUGUCCCAGAAGCCCCGGCGAACUACGUUCCAGCAGCCGCGGUACUACGUAGGGGGCAAGCGUUCUCCGGAUUUACUGGGUGUAACGGGAGCGCAGGCGGCUUGGCAAGUCAGAGGUGAAAACCCGGGGCCCAACCCCGGGAGUGCAUUUGAAACUGGCAGGCUGGAGUGCCGGAGAGGGAAGCGGAAUUCCUAGUGUAGCGGUGAAAUGCGUAGAUAUUAGGAGGAACACCAGUGGCGGAGGCGGCUCACUGGACGGUGACUGACGCUGAGGCUCGAAAGCGUGGGGAGCAAACAGGAUUAGAUACCCCUGUAGUC